rnacentral:lncRNA from 1 species
GCAUACAUACUCUACAUAACGCACAUUUGUAUAAAACAUAAAUAAAUUGUAAAAACAAUAGCCUACACACUAUAUUUUUAAAGUAGCAUUUUCUUAUUUUUGUAAUAAAUAAGAUUUUUGAGAUUUAGCUUAUUUAGCCAACUAAUCAUUGACCUUUUUAUAAGCAGAUGUAGUAAUUCUUAAAGUUCCCAAUUAAAAUAAAAUGCAAAGUUUUUGCUAUUGGUUUUGAUACACUGACUCCAAACCAUAUGGUAGUAUAAAGAUAUUUCUUGAAAACUCUGAAAUCUUUUCAUUGUCUUCUCUUAGAAUUGUUUUAUGACUGUUCUUCUUUAACAGUGUAGAUGAAUGAAUGAACAUCCAAAAUGAAUAGACCAAGCAGCCCGUGUUAGAAAAUUCAUUAGUUUUACUGGAUUCCACUGAGGACUGGACAAUAAGUGGCAAAACAUAUGAAUGCAGUUCUGUGGAAGCUUCCUCAGGAUUUAAAUAAAUUCAAGCAACACACACACACACACACACACACACACACACACACACACACACACUUGUGUACAGGGAGGAGAGCCAUUGUAUUAGAAAAUGCAACCUGGAUGGCCAUCAGGGUGUGAAUGUCAGCUACCACAAAAUAUAUCAGACUCAAAGCUGAACAGGCACCAGUACUUUUUAUGGAGAAGAACCAGGAUGGCCUCAAACUCACGAUUACCCGUCUCAUCCUCCGGAACACUGGGAUUAUAAGUAUACGCCACCACAUUUGGUGAAAGAAAGGACUUGUUUUGAAUUUCUGUAUGAAUGAAGUUUCAAAAGAAUGCAAUUAAGUACGAGAUCAAAUUUAGAAGAAAGAUUUGAUCUAAAAAAUACAACUAAAUGAGAAAAGGUGGAUAGGAAAAAGCACAGUAUGCAUUCUUUAUUGUGUUGCUUUCACGAUGUCAAAAACAAAUUAAAUAGGCUAGUAAAAUGGAAAGGCCAUGAACAAAUGUUCCUUGUAGUAUAGAAUAUACUAGACUAUCUCUUCUAUAUAAAUUGAUUUAAAAUUAAUGACAAACUUGGUUUCAAUUCAACCAGCUCAUUCUAAAAAGUUGAAAUAUACAUAUGUGUGUUUGUGUGUGUACAAAUGAAUAUAUAAUGUAUAUAAUGUACAAUGUGCAUAUACAUUGUAUACAUAUAUAUGUUAGAAUGAUGGGUGUAAUCAUGUAUUUAUAUUUUUGAAUAAAUUCUAAACAUAACCAAAUUCCAGAACAACUUAGCAGUACUAAGAAUUACUGAUUACAUUAAAGUUUAUUUAUAAUCAAUACACAAAGAUAUUAAUGCAUGUAAUUCUAUCAGUAUUUAUGUUUCUGAUGUUAUAAUGCCAAUGUUUAUUUCACAUACGUUUGAAUAUUGUUUAAUAUUAUACAUAUUCUAAAUAUAGUACCAAAUGAUAUUUUUAUUUACAUUAAUGAGAAAAUGUAAGUCCUGGUGAAAUUCUGUGAAAAAAGUUAUGUAUCAGUGAAAAAUGGUAUGGAACAACUUUCUUUCAGCUCCAAAAAUGGCAAUACUUUUCCCUUUAUUCAAUAAAGAGUAUUUUUAAGUAGAAAAGUUAAAAAAAAAAAACGGGAUUCUAGUCAGACAACUCGAAAUAUAUGGGUCAGAGUAACAGUAUCUCUGGAAUGCAGGCUUAAAACCUGACUAAGAUCAGAGACUUGAGUACCAUACAGGGUUUUAUGUGUGUAUUGUCUGAUAAUGGCAAAAGAAGAUGGUUUUAAAAAUGACUGAUUCAUAAGCAAGUCAACAUUAAGUGAAACUUGAAUGGAAAUUUAGUUUUCUAGUAAUAAGCAUUUAGAUAAUAAGGAGUGCCUUAUUAUUAUUAGAUAUUAAGCUGGUACCCCCUGUGCCUUGGCUAUGACUCUGAAAUGAAUAGAAUGAAGUUACAGUUAACAGAGAUGCAGAGGCAGACACUUCCCUGUGCUACCUAAACAGGUACUUAGUGUACUUUGAACCUUAUUUCUGACAGGUCUGAGAUGUAAAAGGAGGGAAACCAGUGAGCCCAGUGAUUCUAGCGUUGCCGUGAACUGCUCAGAGGUAGUUUGUCAUUGCACAGAGCUGUUCUCAUAAUAGUUAUGAUCCCAAGCCUUAAAUUGUUGGGAACUAUGUUACUGUUUAUUUGUUGUUGUUUUUUUUUUUUUCCUCUACCCUCUGGUUAAAAUAUAAUUUUGAUGCAUCAGCAUAGUUAUGAAGGGGACUUACUAGCAAGUGCUUUUUAACACUGAUAUUUGGGUCUCCUGGAUUCUAUGAAAGUCAUGUCUCCUUAACUACUUUAUCUCCUGCACUGCGCCCUCCCCCCCAUAUCCACAGAGCAUCUGAAUGGUCACUCGUGGCCAUGCUCCAGAGGUGAGUGAUGUACACACGGGUGGAGAAUCCAAUUUAAAAUAGCAUGAGAAUGUAGAAGAGACAAAGGAGCACUGCAGGAGCAUGUGCAGAUAUAAGUGCUGGAAGUCCCCAGACUGCUUUCUCCAGACUUUCUCAGCUCCUGGUGUUGCUGCCCACUCUGCUGCCCUGGUCCUUACCUUAACCAGCUCCCUUAUAUGCUUCCAUGUUUUAUCCUUCACUAAGUCUCUUUCUCUCUGGUUCUGGAUGCUUAGAUGUUCUUCCAUUUGGUUCCAUGUCAUAUGGUCAUUUCUGUUUCUGCAGCAGCUAAACUGUUGGAUAAUGGUUUGCAGGUCUGACUCCCAAGUACCACUGUGAGCUCAUUAACAAUGGCUGCCAUCUCCUUGUAUCCUCUGCACUAUACCAGCAGAUGAAGUUGGACCAUGGGCUGUAUUCCAUGGUGAAUGAGUGCUCUGUGCUGGUUGGAACCCUAUAGCAAUAGACAAUGUGAAUACAUUGACAGUGUUUUGUUGUUGUUGCUGCUGUUGCUGUUGUUGUUGUUGUUGUUGUUGUUUUUGGCAAGAUACUCACUUCAGGGUUUUAAGAACAUGACCCAACCUGUUAAAAAUCAAUAAAUUCAGACAGAGGAUUUUUUAGUUAAGAGUUAAGGUACAAAUGAGAGAUCACUGAAGGUUUUAAGCAGACUGUAAGGUAAGAAGGGAAGAAAGUUCCCAAAGUAUAUGCUAGGAGCUAGGGCUCCAGUGUAAAGGAUGGCUAAACGUGGGUCUGUUUUAAGGGGUGUACAAACAUAUUUGGGCUAAGAAGGCCCAAUAUUUACUUUCGAAUGAGGGAAAAUGCUUGUGACUUAACAGGUUGCCUGUUCAAUGAACUAAAAAAAUGUAAACUCUUACUCCAUAAUCUCUUUAAUAUCUCACUUUUGCCAAAGGAAUCUAACCUUAUUGCCACCAAAUCCCACUGAACUCCUAGACGAGC